AGCUGCAUGGUACAGUGGUUUGAGUGUUGGACUAGGACUCUGAGAAGUCAUGGUUCAAAUCCUUGCUUAGCCA